rnacentral:rRNA from 1 species
AUCCUGGCUUAGGAUGAACGCUGGCGGCGUGCCUAACACAUGCAAGUCGAACGAAGCACUGUUGGUUUGAGAUUCGUCAAGAACCGGCUUUGACUUAGUGGCGGACGGGUGAGUAAUGUAUGAGCAACCUGCCUUCAGAGGGGGACAACAGUUGGAAACGACUGCUAAUACCGCAUAAUGUAUCGAGGAGGCAUCUCCAUGAUACCAAAGGAGCAAUCCGCUGAAAGAUGGGCUCAUAUCUGAUUAGUUAGUUGGCAGGGUAACGGCCUACCAAGACUGCGAUCAGUAGCCGGACUGAGAGGUUGAACGGCCACAUUGGGACUGAGAUACGGCCCAGACUCCUACGGGAGGCAGCAGUGGGGAAUAUUGGGCAAUGGGCGAAAGCCUGACCCAAGCAACGCCGCGUGAAGGAAGAAGGUCUUCGGAUUGCAAACUUCUUUUAUGAGGGACGAAGGACGUGACGGUACCUCAUGAAUAAGCCACGGCUAACUACGUGCCAGCAGCCGC